UGCCAGCAGCCGCGGUAAUUCCAGCUCCAAUAGCGUAUAUUAACGUUGUUGCAGUUAAAAAGCUCGUAGUUGAAAUGAAGGGUAGUUGUGUAAUGAAUACAUUCGUGUAUUUUGUUAUUCAAGUACCCUCCUUCUAAAUUCGAUAUAUGAGUAUUAAUUUACUUGUAUAUGGUUUUAGACCUUUACUGUGAGAAAAUUAGAGUGUUCAAAGCAGGCAUUUGCUUGAAUAUAUUAGCAUGGAAUAAUCAUGUAUGAUUUUCAUGAUGUAUUUGAUUGGUUUGGUUGAUGAGAAUAAGAUUAAAAGGGACAGUUGGGGGUAUUCAUAUUCAAUAGUCAGAGGUGAAAUUCUCGGAUUUAUGGAAGAUGAACAAGUG
rnacentral:rRNA from 1 species